rnacentral:rRNA from 1 species
UACGUAGGGGGCUGGCGUUGUCCGGAAUCAUUGGGCGUAAAGCGCGUGUAGGCGGUUCGGUAAGUCCGCUGUGAAAGUCGGGGGCUCAACCCUCGGAUGCCGGUGGAUACUGUCGGACUAGAGUACGGAAGAGGCGAGUGGAAUUCCUGGUGUAGCGGUGAAAUGCGCAGAUAUCAGGAGGAACACCGAUUGCGAAGGCAGCUCGCUGGGACGUUACUGACGCUGAGACGCGAAAGCGUGGGGAGCAAACAGG